rnacentral:lncRNA from 1 species
GGGAAUCGGGUGAAUUCUAGUUUUUUGGCCGUAAAAAUCAAAACAACGAGGAACGGCCAUGGUGGGGCGGUGACUAUGGUUCCUUAGGUCAUAUUUAAUGGCCCAGAAUAAUUUUAGGCGAUCGGUGUCCGAGGGCCCGGACCCACUCGGAAGGCGUGGGCUAUAGAACACGAAUAUAUGGGAAUCAGGCGGAAUUUUAGUUUUUUGGCCGUAAAACGCAAAACAACAAGGAACGGCCAUGACGGGGCGGUGACUAUGGUUCCUUAGGUCGUAUUUGAUGGCCCCGAAUAAUUUUAGGCGAUCGGGGUCCGGGGGCUCGGAGCCACUCGGAAGGCAGGGGCUAUAGCACACGAAAAUAUGGGAAUCGGGCAAAAUUCUAUUUUUUUA